AAAGAAGUAAGCUAAUUUUAAGCUCUUAGGUUCAUACCCUGAUUAUAAAAGUAAAAUCUUUUCUUUUUUA
rnacentral:tRNA from 1 species